GGGCACCACCAGGAGUGGAGCCUGCGGCUUAAUUUGACUCAACACGGGAAAACUCACCCGGCCCGGACACUAGGAGGAUUGACAGACUGACUAGCUCUUUCUUGAUUCAGUGGGUGGUGGUGCAUGGCCGUUCUUAGUUGGUGGAGCGAUUUGUCUGGUUAAUUCCGAUAACGAACGAGACUCUAGCCUACUAGUUAGCCGGCCCGGUCGUUAUGCGCCCGGGCAGCGAGCUUCUUAGAGGGACAGACGGCGAGUAAGCCGUACGAGAUAGAGCAAUAACAGGUCCGUGAUGCCCUUUAGAUGUCCGGGGCCGCCCGGCGCGCUACACUGAAAGUGAUCAGCACGCUAGCCAGCCCCGCUCCGAGGAGGAAGGGGGUAAACCGUUUGAACCCCCCUUCAUGAUGAGGGGAUUGAGCUUUUGUAACUAUUGCUCAUGAAACGAGGAAUUCCCAGUAGGCGUGAGUCAUUACCUUACGCCGAUUACGUCCCUGCCCUUUGUACACACCGCCCGUCGCUACU
rnacentral:rRNA from 1 species